UUCAGAAGAAGGUUCAGGAGCUGAUGUUAAAGCGGAAUUAUUCAUUUCAUUUGGAGGUCUCCUUUUGGAUAUGAAGGGAAAUCCAGAUUAUGUUACAGAGUUUCAGCUUGAUCACAAGUAUUACCUUUGUAUGAGGAAGUUGGAUUAGAACUUUAAUUGCGUAUAUAGUCCUUUAAUUAGUCUAGAUUUGUGAAACCAUUCAUGUUAUUGGUUUAUCUUAAAGGGAAUUUCUUUGCUUGUUUCUCAGUUCAACUUCAUACAAGCUUGGAAUUGCUUUGCUCUUAGUUUAUUACUCAAUUAAACUUUUCACAAGUUUGGAAUUUCUUA